CGCAUGUCGUCAGUCUACAGUUGAAAAUUGUGUGGAGUGGACGUGUCGUCGCGAAUUGUGAUUAUCGCAGUUUAAUUGGUAGCGUUAUGGUAAUAUUCUCGAAGGCGGGAAAAAUUCCAAUAUGGACGCCAUUGGUGACUUUUUUUCGUGGUAAAAUUUUACAUUUCGUGUAAAUUAUUUUUUAAUUAUUAAUCCAGUAAUUGAGUUUGUUACAGAUAUGAAAUAUGAAAAAUAGAAGAAAAUAAACAGGAAAAAAUAGAUAGAUAAUAAUGUGUUAUCCUCAUUUGUUGGAAAUUAAUUACCUUUGUUAUUGUUGUUGUUUCACUAAUUCUGUUCUAUAGUUUGUUUCAGAAAUCUCCUUCAGCUUUCAACAAUGGAUUAUGUGGAAUGGAUUACAUCUUAUCAUCAGAUAAAUAUUCUAAUUUUUUAUAUUAGGUAAUAUAGAAUAGGUUGUAGGAAACAUUUAGCUUUUUUUCUUGAUAGAUGGGAUUUAUAAACGAUGUUCUGUUCUUCUUCUUCUUAUUG